UGACGAGUUUGAUCCUGGCUCAGGAUGAACGCUAGCGGCAGGCUUAACACAUGCAAGUCGAGGGGUAUAGUUCUUCGGAGUCUAGAGACCGGCGCACGGGUGGCGUAACGCGUAUGCAAUCUACCUUUUACAGAGGGAUAGCCCAGAGAAAUUUGGAUUAAUACCUCAUAGUAUGUGAGAAUCGCAUGGUUUUCACAUUAAAGUUCCAACGGUAAAAGAUGAGCAUGCGUCCCAUUAGCUAGAUGGUAAGGUAACGGCUUACCAUGGCGACGAUGGGUAGGGGUCCUGAGAGGGAGAUCCCCCGACACUGGUACUGAGACACGGACCAGACUCCUACGGGGAGGCAGCAGUGAGGAAUAUUGGACAAUGGGGCGCAAGCCUGAUCCCAGCCAUGCCGCGUGCAGGAUGACGGUCCUAUGGAUUGUAAACUGCUUUUGUAC
rnacentral:rRNA from 1 species